GACGAACGCUGGCGGCGUGCUUAACACAUGCAAGUCGAACGGAAAGGGCCUGCUUUUGUGCGGUGCUAGAGCGGCGAACGGGUGAGUAACACGUGAGUAACCUGCCCUUGACUUUGGGAUAACUUCAGGAAAUUGGAGCUAAUACCGGAUAGGAUCUCCUUCUGCAUGGUGGGGGUUGGAAAGUUUAGGUGGUUGGAGAUGGACUCGGGGCUUAUCAGCUUGUUGGUGGGGUAGUGGCUUACCAAGGCUGUGACGGGUAGCCGGCCUGAGAGGGUGACCGGCGACAAUGGGACUGCGGGAGGGCGCAGACAACUACGGGAGGCAGCGGUGGGGAAUAUUGCGCAAUGGGCGGAAGUCGGAGGCAGCGACUCAGAGUGCGGAAUGACGGCCUUCGGGUGAUGAACCGCUGUCGGCUGUAACGAAGAGUGGGUGACGGUAAUGGAUAAAGAAGCACCGGCUAACUACGUG
rnacentral:rRNA from 1 species